AUUGAACGCUGGCGGCAUGCUUUACACAUGCAAGUCGAACGGCAGCGCGGGCUUCGGCCUGGCGGCGAGUGGCGAACGGGUGAGUAAUACAUCGGAACGUGCCCAGUAGUGGGGGAUAGCUCGGCGAAAGCCGGAUUAAUACCGCAUACGACCUGAGGGUGAAAGCGGGGGAUCUUCGGACCUCGCGCUAUUGGAGCGGCCGAUGGCAGAUUAGCUAGUUGGUGGGGUAAAGGCCUACCAAGGCGACGAUCUGUAGCUGGUCUGAGAGGACGACCAGCCACACUGGGACUGAGACACGGCCCAGACUCCUACGGGAGGCAGCAGUGGGGAAUUUUGGACAAUGGGCGAAAGCCUGAUCCAGCAAUGCCGCGUGUGUGAUGAAGGCCUUCGGGUUGUAAAGCACUUUUGGCGGGAACGAAAAGGACUGUGCAAAUACCACGGUUAGAUGACGGUACCCGCAGAAUAAGCACCGGCUAACUACGUG
rnacentral:rRNA from 1 species